AACGCACCUUGCACCCUUUGGUAUUCCGAAGGGUAUGCCUGUUUGAGUGUCAUUAAAUUCUCAACUUCAAAAGAGUUUGUGCUUUUUUGAAGCUUGGACUAUGGAAGCUUGCUGGUAUCGCUAUCAGCUCUUCUUAAAUGCAUUAGCGGAACUGUGAAGGACCAGCUUUGGUUUGAUAAUCCUAUCUAUGCCGUCGCUGUGGACUUGUGUGUUCAGCUUCUAAUUGUCUUCGGACUGCCUUCUAGGCAUACACUUUAAGCUUGACCUCAAAUCAGGUAGGACUACCCGCUGAACUUAA
rnacentral:misc_RNA from 1 species